rnacentral:rRNA from 1 species
UACGUAGGGACCAAGCGUUGUUCGGAUUUACUGGGCGUAAAGGGCGCGUAGGCGGCAUAUUAAGUCAGCUGUGAAAUCUCCGAGCUUAACUCGGAACUGUCAGCUGAUACUGAUGUGCUAGAGUGCAGAAAGGGCAAUCAGAAUUCUUGGUGUAGCGGUGAAAUGCGUAGAUAUCAAGAGGAAUACCUGAGGCGAAGGCGGGUUGCUAGGCUGACACUGACGCUGAGGCGCGAAAGUGUGGGGAGCGAACAGG